AACCGACAUGGCAGUAUCCAGAGUACCACGAGACACGAGAAACCUUGUGGGAAUGAGCGGAGACCACUCCGUAAGGCUAAAUACUACUCAGUGACCGAUAGCGCAUAGUACUGUGAAGGAAAGGUGAAAAGGACCCCGGGAGGGGAGUGAAAGAGAACCUGAAACCCUGUGUUUACAAGCACCGAAAGCACGUCAAUGUGCGAUCGGGUACCUUUUGUAGAAUGGUCCGGCGAGUGAAUGUAUUUGGCAAGGUUAAGCACUUCAGGUGCGGAGCCGCAGCGAAAGCAAGUCUGAACAGGGCGUAUGAAGUCAAAUGUAUUCGACCCGAAACCGGGUGACCUAGCCAUGACCAGGCUGAAGUGAAGGUAAAACUUCAUGGAGGACCGAACCGACUCCCGUUGAAAUGGUAGCGGAUGAACUGUGGCUAGCGGAGAAAUUCCAAUCGAACCCGGAGAUAGCUGGUUCUCUCCGAAAUAGCUUUAGGGCUAGCCUUGAAAUAGAUUACUGCAGGUAAAGCACUGAAUUGGCUAGGGGCCGAGAGGUUACUGAACCUUAUCAAACUAAGAAUGCCGGAUAAUCGUUUUUCAGGAGUCAGACAGUGGGAGAUAAGUUUCAUUGUCGAGAGGGAAACAGCCCAGACCCACAGCUAAGGUCCCCAAUCAUAGUUAAGUGGAAAAGGAUGUGGAAUUGCUUAGACAACCAGGAUGUUGGCUUAGAAGCAGCCACUCAUUAAAAGAGUGCGUAAUAGCUCACUGGUCGAGUGAUUCUGCGCGGAAAAUUUAACGGGGCUAAACUAUGAACCGAAGCUUGGGAUACCGUAAGGUAUGGUAGGAGAGCGUCGUAUACGGGGUGAAGUCAGAGCGAAAGCGCUGGUGGACUGUAUACGAGUGAGAAUGCCGGAAUAAGUAGCGAGAAUUAAGUGAGAAUCUUAAUGGCCGAAAGUCUAAGGUUUUUGGAGGAAGGUUCGUCCGCUCCAAGUAAGUCGGGAGCUAAGGUCAGGCCGAAAGGCGUAGCCGAUGCACAUACGGUUGAUAUUCCGUAACCAUCUGCAAUUUAAGCAAAGGGACACUUGAAAAGGGUGUGACCCGGGCGUUGGUAGACCCGGGCGUAAGGGACUGAAAUUAUAGUAGGGAAGCACACUUAGAUCAAGGCGAGAAAAGCUUUGUGUAUAGAAGCAGAUGCCCGUACCGCAAACCGACACAGGUGGACAGGAAGAGAAUUCUAAGGCCAGCGGGAGAAGGGUAGUUAAGGAACUCGGCAAAUUGACUCCGUAACUUCGGAAUAAGGAGUGCUCGAAAGAGCCGCAGAGAAUAGGCCCAGGCGACUGUUUAGCAAAAACACAGGUCUCUGCCAAAUCGAAAGAUGAAGUAUAGGGGCUGACACCUGCCCGGUGCCGGAAGGUUAAGAGGAGAUGUGCAAGCAUUGAAUUGAAGCCCCGGUAAACGGCGGCCGUAACUAUAACGGUCCUAAGGUAGCGAAAUUCCUUGUCGGGUAAGUUCCGACCCGCACGAAUGGUGUAACGAUCUGGGCACUGUCUCAACUACCCACCCGGCGAAAUUGUAGUACCGGUGAAGAUGCCGGUUACCUGCGGCAAGACGGAAAGACCCCAUGGAGCUUUACUGUAGCCUGAUAUUGGGUUUCGGUAAUCUAUGUACAGGAUAGGCGGGAGACUGGGAAGCUAAGGCGUCAGCUUUAGUGGAGUCAAUGUUGGGAUACCGCCCUUAGGUUUCUGGAAUUCUAACCUGCGGCCGUGAAUCCGGUCGGGGGACAUUGUCAGGUGGGCAGUUUGACUGGGGCGGUCGCCUCCUAAAGAGUAACGGAGGCGCUCAAAGGUUGGCUCAGUACGGACGGAAACCGUGCUUUUGAGUGUAAACGCAAAAGCCAGCCUAACUGCGAGCGUGACGGCGCGAGCAGUAACGAAAGUUGGAGUUAGUGAUCCGGCGGUAUGUGAAUGGAAAUGCCGUCGCUCAACGGAUAAAAGCUACCCUGGGGAUAACAGGCUGAUCUCCCCCAAGAGUCCACAUCGACGGAGUGGUUUGGCACCUCGAUGUCGGCUCAUCGCAUCCUGGGGCUGUAGUAGGU
rnacentral:rRNA from 1 species